rnacentral:piRNA from 1 species
UUUAAAGAUUUCAGGAAAGGGACAGA